UAAAGUCAAACCGUGGAAGCAAACCUUUAGGAAAUUACUAUAGAAAGAAAAAAGAUGAGUUAAAGAUCGGGGACCAGCCGUAAAUUACUAUAGUGAGAAAAAUUGAAGGCGCAAUUGCGAGAAGAGGGUAGUAGUGGCGGACAAAGACUAUGAUGCUUCAGUAUUUUAAUGGCACCGUUGCCAUCAGUGAUCCUGAAUCACCAGUAUCGACUUCAUUUUCAUGUUUUAAUUUAGCUCCCAGGUGCCAUCCUUGCGCAAGAAAGUUCACAUGGCCAAAAGUUACGGACAAGUCAACUGUCCCCACAAUAUUUUUGACUGGUUAACGGGUCAUUUGACCUUAAAUUGAAAUAUUUCACUGUUGGUUACCUUACAUAUAAGUUCUUCAAAUUGGACCAGAACUUUCGGUUUGUUAAUAGUCAAGAAAGAGUGUUUGCUAUUCAAGUGUUCGAGCUCCACAGAUUGAUAAAGUCACAAAACCGACUUUUGGGUUUCAUGCGCCUUCAAGAUUAGAAGGUAUCCCCCAAUCUCGACCGGAUUUACCCGAAACCUCACAUUUGAUGAAGAUACUGAGAAAUGUGGGGGCAGAGCGGCCUAAUUGGUCCCACGAGGACGAGCCAUUCUUGGGCGUGCACCAAAUGAGGCCAACAUCGCCAUCUCAUAUGGCGUAACCUGCGGAUGAAUUGCAGCUGUACCUAUCAAAAUUUUAUCUUAUAUGGUUCCUUCAUUU